UACAUGCCUUUUGUCUCCACUUUGUUCUCUGAUUAGUGGGUUGUGAAUCACUUCUUCAGGAAUACUUUAUAGAAGUGAAUUCCAUUCAUCUGAUUAAGGAACAAGUUGGCCUUUUCAUGAACUGUCAUUUUUGACUUGAAUCUGGUACUGUUUUUUGGUGGCUUUCAGGCCACAGAAAUAAACCACUUUUGUUUGCAAAUGAGAUAGAACUUAAUGAGGUUUGAGUGUUUCCUGGAUUUGAGUUUCUUCAGUACUGCACCCCAGGUGAUCUUAGGAAAGAAACCAUCCACUGUGGGUACUUCUGGCUUCUGUCCAGAGAAGAUUAUCAGCUUUGGUCCAAAAAUUGAUUUAAAAGUAGUUUACUUCUUUUUCUCCAAUAAAAUAUUUGCCAUAAUUUAAUGUCUUUAAUACCAACAUUUUCUUCAUUUCCUGUGGUAGCCAGGACAAAUGAAGUAUUUCAGAUCUUUCAAAAACUCUUAGGAUGAAAGGUAGGAAUUUGGACUUAGGUCAUAUGAACAUAAGUUAUACACUUGAAAUUCACUACUGAAAAACAAUGUAUUUAGUUCGAGUUCUGCCACCCCAAAAAAAUCAACGAGUAAUUCAACUGACUUGCAGUUUUACAAUAUUUUUAUAGACUUCUUUCAGCGUAGAUGCUUUUGGACAUACUCAUUUGUUUCCUAACCUGAUGUGAUAUUGUGCUAUUUUUAAGGGGCUUUUAAAAAAUACGCUGUGUUGGGUUUUGCCUUGAAAAUAGGCUUUAUUUCUUUUUUGCCUCAUGGCCACAAAAAAAGGAUGUCCAUGAUCAAUGAUCUGUGAAUUUCUUUUCUGUAAACAGAAAGAGCAUGUAACUGCUUUCUAAUUGUUUUGGAGAAUGUGAUAGACAUUAGUAUUAUUAUUAUUGGCUUGGAGCAUUUUCCUUAAUAUGUUGGUAACUACUUUUGUCAGUGAAUAUUAGUGUAGCCACUGUUGGACACAGAGCACCGUCAGAAAGCUACUGAAGUGGUGCUGCAAAGUGCAGACAUCUUCAGAUCUUUACUCAAGUCUGUGCAGAGAGGUCUUUCUUGGUCUCCUUCUCUACUUUUUAGCCUGUCUCCCUCUUCUCACUGUAACACUUCAUAUUCCCCUUCCCUGCUCUAUUAUUUUUCUCUUUUAGCAUUCAUAGUUAUCUAACUUUCUGUAUUUUUUCUCUUUAUCUUGUUUAGUGUCUGUCUUCCCACUAGAAUGUAAGCUUCAUGAGGACAGGGAUUAGUGUCUGUUUUGUUCACUGCAUCUCUAGGGCUUACAACAUUGUAGGUACUCAGUAAAUAUUUGUUAAAUCAAUGUGAAAUGUGUCAUUUAUCCUUAAGGAAUUGACCUUCAUGGUAGAAGUGUAACAGAACCACCUAUAUCCUACUUUUCAUCCACAUCAUAACUAUUAUGUGAAUACCUUGGAAGUAAAGCAAAAUAAGCACUUAACUAAAGAGACGCUUUAUAUUGAAACUGUUGUUCUGGGUUUCUGGAAUUAGUACUCUGAAAUUGGCUCCCUCUAGGAAGGCUUGUGAAGAGAGUAGUGUUGAACAGACAUGACAGUUUCCAAGAAAGCAUAGUUGGCUAAGAGGAGUAGGAUUUUCCAAGCAAAGAGUGUGACAGUGGAGAUGGCUGGGGCUAAGUCAGGCAGAAUGUGUUCAAACCUGUUUUUCUCUGACCUGAGAUUGCGGAGGGAAUAUUGGGAAGGUAUAGUUACCUGGUGAGGAGAGCCAGUUUUGUGAAGAAUCAAGAAUGAGGAGAUUUAAUUUGUUAUGCAGAUGUCUGGGAACCACAGCAGAUUAUCAGGAGAGCAAAAUUGUUAGUCAGAAUUACAUCGUUAGAAGGUAAUCCUUAAGUUUUGUAGAUUUCUAGAAUGUAAGGAAGCUCUCAGAGGUGCCAUAAGGUGAGUAUGGCCUAAGGAUGUGGCUAUGGCAGUGUAGCAAAAUGGACAACUAUGAAAAAUGUCUAGAGAAAAGUGCAACAUAGCUUAUCAACGGUGCCCAAACAAAUAGGAAGGAUGAGAACUUUUUCAAGCUACAGAUUUCAGUAGUUUUGCUGCUAGAAAUGCUUUAAGGAAAACUGUUAAAAAGAUUAGGAAUGGGAAUAUAGAUAACCGGCUCCUAAAUUUUGCAAGUGGGACCGUCAUAGAAAGCUCUCCUAUAGGUAUUGAGAAAUCGAGAUACCACGUAAGUUUCAAGAAGCAGUUUUUUUUUUCUUUUUGGUCAAAACUAAUGACAAAUUCUGUCCCCUUGUUUGUAUAUUUUAACUUAGUGAGACAGGAAACAUUUAUUCUAUAGAAGACUUUUAAAAUGUAGUUUAAACAAGUUGACACAUGCUUACUGGUUAAUGAAAUGUGCAUCAACCCACUCCAAACACCACUAAUUUGACAUGAACUAACAAUUAACUUUUCUUACUCACUGUCAAAAGUAUAUCAUUCUGCCUUAACUUAACGCUUUACCUUCUAAAUAAAAUUUAAUCUUUUAAAUAAGUUUUUCUGCUAUGUUUUCCUUGCAUAUGUCUUAAAUUUCUUCUUUCGUCUUUGCUCACUGAAGAGCAUUUUCUCCCACAUUCUAGUGACUACCAGGGUUUGUAAGCCUAGAGCACCAUCCUUCAUUCUAUCUAGCAGCAGUUGAGAAUAAUAACAGCCAUAUUUCUAUAUAUGGAGCUCCUCCAAAGGCCUAGCCUGCAUUAAGCUUGUUAAUUCUUACCACAGCCUAGGUAUUACUUUUGUUUUACAAGUGAGCAAACUGAGGCUAGAAAAGAGGAAAUGACUUCACACAUGUUAUGUAGCAAGUACUUGACAGAGCUAGGAUUCAAGCCCCCUGAUCUGUUUGAUUCUAAAGCCCGCACGUUUUCCACCA
rnacentral:lncRNA from 10 species